CAGCAGUAGCCGCGGUAAUACAGAGGGUGCGAGCGUUAAUCGGAUUUACUGGGCGUAAAGCGUGCGUAGGCGGCUUUUUAAGUCGGAUGUGAAAUCCCUGAGCUUAACUUAGGAAUUGCAUUCGAUACUGGGAAGCUAGAGUAUGGGAGAGGAUGGUAGAAUUCCAGGUGUAGCGGUGAAAUGCGUAGAGAUCUGGAGGAAUACCGAUGGCGAAGGCAGCCAUCUGGCCUAAUACUGACGCUGAGGUACGAAAGCAUGGGGAGCAAACAGGAUUAGAUACCCCAGUAGUCCCUGUCUCUUAUAA
rnacentral:rRNA from 1 species